GCUCAGCUGCGUCUUUCUUUCGUCGUGUCCCGCUGUCUCUUGUAACUAAACCGGCCCCCGCACCCUGUCCCUUCUACCCUUUCUACCUGCAUGCGCACUGUGUGCACAAUGUGCACAUGUGGAG